rnacentral:rRNA from 1 species
CAUGACUCUUGGCAACAGAUAUCCUGGCUCUUGUCUCGAUGAAGAACGUAGCGAAAUGUGAUACUUGGUGUGAAUUGCAGAAUCCCACAAACUAUCGAGUCUUUGAAUGCAAGUUGCACCCGAGGCAUUAGGCCAAGGGUACACCUGCCUGGACGUCAUGC